rnacentral:rRNA from 1 species
AACGUAGGAGGCAAGCGUUAUCCGGAGUUACUGGGCGUAAAGCGCGUGUAGGCGGCUCGGUAAGUGGGUCGUGAAAGCGCCCGGCUAAACUGGGCGAGGACGAUCGAGACUGCCAGGCUAGAGGGUGGUAGAGGGACAGGGAAUUCCGGGUGUAGCGGUGAAAUGUGUAGAGAUCCGGAGGAACACCAGUGGCGAAGGCGGCUCUCUGGAACGGUACUGACGCUGAGACGCGAAAGCGUGGGGAGCGAACAGG